AUGUUAUAUAGCAGGCUCGACUCUGGAAACUUCUUUGUGAUCCCCGGAUCACCAAAAGACAGUUGGGCUGCUGACAGUUAUAAUAGGAGACAUUCAAAAUCUCAGUUAAGGGAGGAAUAUGGUUUUGACAAAGAUGAUCUCUUGGUUUUGGUGGUGGGAAGUUCCGUUCUCUACAAUGAGCUGUCUUGGGAUUAUGCUUUGUCUAUUCAUGAUAUAGAACCUUUGCUAAGGAAUAUGGUUUUGACAAAGAUGAACUCUUGGUUUUGGUGGUUGGAAGUUCCAUUCUCUACAAUGAGCUGUCUUGGGAUUAUGCUUUGUCUAUUCAUGAUGUAGAACCUUUGCUACUCAAAUUUGCUGGAAGUAGCUAUGUUGAAGAGAGACUGAAGUUCGUUUUCGUGUCAGGAAAUUCCAGUGAUGGGUAUAAUGAGGCAUUGCAGGUAAAAGUCUUGAAUGCUGUGUUAGUAAUUCUUAAUUUCUGCAUCAUGUUUCACUCUUUAUUCUUUCCUUCUAAUUGAUGGCUUACCUUCGCCUUUCUCUGUUUCUCUAUUGUUUCAUUUCGAUGUUAAAAAAGUUGUGUUGUUUGAACUGUAAAAAGGAUAAAAGUUUCUUAGGUAUACGUUAGCAUAACAGCUGGAACUCUUUUAGCUGAGGAAAUUCUAAAUUAUUUUCUCUUGAGUGUAUGCUUUAAAGUGCUUUGUUCUUUUAGGUGCCUACCUGAAAUUUUCAUCCUUCUUUUCAUCUUUAAGAUACCUUUUCCAUUUUUUGGUGUCUUCAUUUCUUGCAAGUGCUUUACUGUGUUAUUUGUUUGGUUGAGAUGAAAGUUCUAGUGACAUUGAGUGAUGCUUCACUUCACAACUUUUAUCCCUUAAAAUAAAAACUACUAUAUGUCUCAAAAUUUGUAGGAUAUUGCUACUCGUCUGGGACUUCGUGAGGGAUCUCUU
rnacentral:lncRNA from 1 species